rnacentral:rRNA from 1 species
AUUGAACGCUGGCGGCAGGCCUAACACAUGCAAGUCGAGCGAGCGGCGGACGGGUGAGUAAUGUAUGGGAAACUGCCCGAUGGAGGGGGAUAACUACUGGAAACGGUAGCUAAUACCGCAUACUAUCGGAUGUGCCCAGAUGGGAUUAGCUAGUAGGUGGGGUAAAGGCUCACCAAGGCGACGAUCCCUAGCUGGUCUGAGAGGAUGAUCAGCCACACUGGAACUGAGACACGGUCCAGACUCCUACGGGAGGCAGCAGUGGGGAAUAUUGCACAAUGGGCGCAAGCCUGAUGCAGCCAUGCCGCGUGUAUGAAGAAGGCCUUCGGGUUGUAAAGUACUUUCAGCGGGGAGGCGUUACCCGCAGAAGAAGCACCGGCUAACUCCGUGCCAGCCGCCGCGGUAAUAC